CAAUCCACACCAGGGCGAGUCUCCUGGACGUGCCCACCAGGUAUGUCGCAAUAAUGACGCAUCGGAUGCCAGUGGUCAUGUGACGAUUUCCUAUAUUCCAAAUUCCAUUAAGACCAGCCCACCCUGUAAUUUCCUCAUCAGAAAUGCCUCACGGUUUCUCUGAUACAGAAUAAGCAAUAUGGUAUGCGUGUAAACCUGUCACAAAAUAAAACAAGAAUGCAUCCACACUGGAGCGAGACGGAGUGUGCCAGAGAUUAGGAAGUUCGGCUUUCUAAGCAGUUCAGCUUUAUUGUUCUGCCUCCCUUGAUGGCCCCGGCCCAACCCCACCCAGAACUCCAGGCUCCCCCAGAGGAUAGCAAACCCGCGUGUCCGUGGUUCACUCUGCUAGCUUCCUCGUAGUCCAUUUCCAAGACACAUGGAGUAAAAGGCCCAGGAGGACCCUCAGGCAGAGAACGACAAGAGUCUCUUUGGAUGUCCAUUUGUGUAUUUCACAGACACUCUCUCACCCUUGGCUUCGGUGGUCUUGCUCAGAGCUGCACAGACUCACACACGUGUGUCUUCAAUACCGUAAGUGUGGAUCUUCCGUCUAUGACGCAGCGGCCCUUGUAGUUGAUCCCGAAGACUCCUGUGGCCAAUUUGGGAUGGAGGAGAGGCAAAGGGAAUAGAAAGUACAGUCUCGUCCCAUAAGCACCUUCUAGAACUUCAGUGCCGAAGGACGAAAGACAAGCGAGAACACAGACCAAAUGAAAAAACUGGAAAUGAUGGUUUUCAUCAGGAGAUAAAAAUGUAUGUGAUUCCAUGAUAAAAAAAAAACAAAACAGGUAAUCCCUUCCCUAGACUUACUUCCUAGUAACUUUAGAGAAUAUAGUUGUUCCUGGAGAUACCCAUCCAUGACGGCACUCGGGACACCUAGGAGCAUUGAUCAGGUGACCAGACUCGCCCUUCUCUGAUUUUGCACAGGCAGGCUUGGAUCUGGGUCCUCUCAGUUCUCCAGUCCUUGCCGCAUCGUGCCUCCUUCCACCUCUGCUUUAUGACAUGUGCUUUAAGAAAAGGUUGGGGGGGAAAAUCCUCAAAGGAUUGGAAAAUAGACCAUGAUGUAAAAAAGCUUUUGUGUUUGGUUUGGUUUUUGACUUGUGAAGAGUACUUUGGAUAGUUCAGGGUAAAAAAUGUAUCAGGGAGGAAAGUAGAGAGAAUUCCUGUGGAGUCCCAAGUGCCUCUGUGUUGUGGUUAGCCAAAAAGAAUGCGUCAGGUG
rnacentral:lncRNA from 1 species